AGCUGCUGAACACUGCCCAAGAUUGGCGUGAACAAUUCUAACGGAAGGCAACUCUUGUGCGUGUGACAGCGGCUAU
rnacentral:pre_miRNA from 1 species